GUCGAGUGAUGACCCAGGUUAUGACGAGAUAUCAUCACCGGGUCUACACUUGCCAC
rnacentral:pre_miRNA from 1 species